GAUGAACGCUGGCGGCGUGCCUAAUACAUGCAAGUCGAGCGAACGGACGAGAAGCUUGCUUCUCUGAUGUUAGCGGCGGACGGGUGAGUAACACGUGGAUAACCUACCUAUAAGACUGGGAUAACUUCGGGAAACCGUAGCUAAUACCGGAUAAUAUUUUGAACCGCAUGGUUCAAAGGUGAAAGACGGUCUUGCUGUCACUUAUAGAUGGAUCCGCGCUGCAUUAGCUAGUUGGUAAGGUAACGGCUUACCAAGGCAACGAUGCAUAGCCGACCUGAGAGGGUGAUCGGCCACACUGGAACUGAGACACGGUCCAGACUCCUACGGGAGGCAGCAGUAGGGAAUCUUCCGCAAUGGGCGAAAGCCUGACGGAGCAACGCCGCGUGAGUGAUGAAGGUCUUCGGAUCGUAAAACUCUGUUAUUAGGGAAGAACAUAUGUGUAAGUAACUGUGCACAUCUUGACGGUACCUAAUCAGAAAGACACGGCUAACUACGUG
rnacentral:rRNA from 1 species